UACGAAGGGGGCUAGCGUUGUUCGGAAUUACUGGGCGUAAAGCGCACGUAGGCGGGUUGUUAAGUCAGGGGUGAAAUCCUGGAGCUCAACUCCAGAACUGCCUUUGAUACUGGCAACCUAGAGACUGGAAGAGGAUAGUGGAAUUCCCAGUGUAGAGGUGAAAUUCGUAGAUAUUGGGAAGAACACCAGUGGCGAAGGCGGCUAACUGGUCCAGCACUGACGCUGAGGUGCGAAAGCGUGGGGAGCAAACAGG
rnacentral:rRNA from 1 species